rnacentral:tRNA from 1 species
GGAGAGGUGCCGGAGUGGUCGAACGGGGCGGUCUCGAAAACCGUUGAGCACGCAAGUGUUCCGAGGGUUCGAAUCCCUCUCUCUCCGCCA